GGUGAUGAAGGACGUGGGCUAAUGCUUACAAACGUUAGCACAAACGUUAGCAUAUCUAGAGCUCUAACGUCACCUGCUGCUGGUGCUCACACGCUUCUGAGGGCAGCGUCCUGUCGACGGCUGUGUUUCUGUCCUCCUCCUCCUCCUCAUCCUCCUCCUCCACCUCCUCCGCUUUAUGUUUGAAAGUCACGACUGCUUCGAAAGUCACGAGGCAAAAAGAGAAACGAUGUUUAACAACAUGUGAUUGACAAAAUAAUCAUGUUGAAUACAAACCUUAAAAAGAGGGCGGGGCCAGCUUUGUGAUGAAGACUUGUUACUAAGGGUGAUGAAGAUGCUGCUGCUGAUGAAGUCAAAGUUGUGACACAGUUUUCGUUCAGUGUGUGUAUGUGUGUGUGUGUGUGUGUGUGUGUGUGUGUCGUCCCUCCUCCCGACCUUUGAGGAAUGUGUUCGUCAUAAAGCUGACAGGAGCUCCGACUCUUCACAGGUACGCCGGAGUCGCUGGAGGAGAAGGAGCACCAACUCUCCACUAUGAUCGGUCAGCUGAUCAGUCUUCGGGAGCAGCUCCUCUCUGCCCACGACGAGCAGAAAAAGAUGGCCGCCUCACAGCUGGAGAAGCAGAGACAACAGAUGGAGCUGGCCCGGCAGCAGCAGGAGCAGAUCGCCAGACAACAGCAGCAGCUCCUGCAGCAGCAGCACAAGAUCAACAUUCUCCAACAACAGAUCCAGGUC